UUCAAGACCCAUCCAGCCUGGCCUUGGACACUCCCAGGAAUGGGGCAGCCACAGCUUCUCUGGGGAGCCUGUGCCAUGGCCUCACCACCCUUCUAGUAAAGAAUUUAUUUUUAAUAUCCAGUCCAAUACUGCCCUCCUUCAGUUUACAGUUGCUUCCCCUUGUCUUAUUGCUCUAUACCCUGGUGAAUAUCAAGUAAAUUUCCCUCAUUUCAGAGAAACACCACUCACUUGGUGGAACCGGCUCAGAACCUGUCCUGAACCACGGCGCCUUGCUAUCCUGGAAGCCUUUGCACAUCUCACUCAGAAGAAACCCAAGAGCUGAGCGUGCCGGGAUACUUACAGCCC